GAGGCUGAAACUCGCCUCUUUGAAGUCGGAAUCGCUAGUAAUCGCAGAUCAGCAUGUUGCGGUGAAUACGUUUCCUGGUCUUGUACACACCGCCCGUCAAACCAUGAGAGUCGCCAACACCCGAAGUCCGCUUUGCGGCCUAAGGUGGGGGAGAUGAUUGGGGUUAAGUCGUAACAAGGUAAC
rnacentral:rRNA from 1 species